UACGUGGAGGGGCAAGCGUUGUCCGGAAUCAUUGGGCGUAAAGAGCGUGUAGGCGGCUCGGUAAGUCCGCUGUGAAAGUCCAGGGCUCAACCCUCGGAUGCCGGUGGAUACUGUCGGGCUUGAGUACGGAAGAGGCGAGUGGAAUUCCUGGUGUAGCGGUGAAAUGCGCAGAUAUCAGGAGGAACACCAUUGCGAAGGCAGCUCGCUGGGACGUUACUGACGCUGAGACGCGAAAGCGUGGGGAGCAAA
rnacentral:rRNA from 1 species